CACGGGUGUCCCCGCUCUGUUCCCCCCGCGCUGUUUCCCGAAGUUGGGGGGCUGCCCGCAGCCGCGGGAGCGGGACCGGAGGCGGGGGGGUGCGGUACUCACUUUGCCCUUCAAAUUUGCGGAUGAUGGUGUCCAGUUUUGCUAAGCCUCCUAAUUUCAGCAGCAAGCAUGAUGCAGGAGCCAGAAGGCAGCAAAAUCUCUCCAGAUGUUAUCGCAGCGGGGAAGGGGAAAUCAUCCUCCGUUUAAAGCUCCUCAGUGGGACCCUGGACCUGUGCUGGAGGUGACCUGGUGUCUGUCCUCUCUGCUGCGUAGACCUUGGACCGCUGUUGAAGGUAACCAGCUCUCCAGCUCUGUCUUCUGGAUGGGCUGUGGGCUUGGGCUGUCUCUGUAUCUUUGGCCAGGAGACCACAGCUCAGUGCUCAAGCUCAUUGAGUCCAACCAUAACCCAUUCUGAGGUUCUCAGUCCUGAGAACCCCAUCUCCAUCUGUCCAACCCUCCAGGGAUGGUGACUCCACCACUGCCCUGGGCAGCGGUUCCAGGAGAAACAGGAUUCUAGGACAUGGUCAGGUUCUAAGUGGAUUCUCUGAUGUCUAGUCAGGGCUGAGCUUGUGUUGCUGCCCCUGAGUGAGUGUUCAGCGUGGAUAUAUUUUUCUUCCUCCAGAAAGCAAUUUUAAUGAAACUUCUAGAAGUUGAUGAUCUUAGAGACCUCUGUUCCUUCAGCAAUGGGGCAGAAAGGAGCCGUGGGGCUCAAAACUUCCCGGUGAGGAGCUGAGCUGGAUGGAGCACACCUGCACCACUGCUUUCCCAGCCCAAAAAUACACUUGGCUCCAGCCCCAGCUCUCACCGUGCCAGGUCUGUGCUGUGCAAGCAUCGCGCUGCCAGGGAGGGGGGAGCGGACAGUGCCCAGUGUGCCGGGAUAUAAAGCAGAUGCAUCAGGGCUUGGCCAUGGGAAGAGCGUGGGGUGAGUGCGGGCGGCUGGGGUGGCUGCGGAGAGACGAGCGGUCGGGGUUUCACCUCCCCGUGGGUGUGCUGCGAUGGGAGGAGGAUUGAAAGCGAACAAAAGCCAGAGCGUGGGUGGACAGACACCUGCCUUCUGCGCCUCUCCCGGGUGCGGUGGUUCUCUCCUGGGCCUCAGUUUCCCCAUGACCAAGGGCAGAGGUCGUUGGAUGGGAGGGGGACUGGUGGAUCCCCGAUCCCCUCAUUUCCCCUGCUCCUCCGGGCUGCAGCAGAUCCUGGCUCUGUAAGGCUGCAAUUAUCCCCAGCCUGGGAUUAGUUUUGCACCUAAUCACGGCAGAACAAA